GUUAUUUCUGUUUAAUAAGCUAUGCAUUCUCUCAUCAACCCAGACACAAUUGCCAGUCCCUGCUGAAAGGCAGCCUCUACAUAACACCAUGCUGUCACCACCAUACCUAAUAGGCAGCUUACCGGGUGAUGUGCAUUAUCAAGCUUGCACCAUAUAUAAUGCUUGGAAUUUAGACACUUUUAUCUCAUCUGACCACAAAGCUGUUCCACAUGUCUGAACCAUGUUUUGUCUUUUUUUUUUUUUUCUUCUACAAACUCAACACGUGAUAAGGAUGAG